rfam:Scytonema tolypothrichoides VB-61278 scaffold_7, whole genome shotgun sequence.
CUCUCAUGGCAAUAGCCAGUAAGGUCACAGGCAGAACACCUGUUAAUAGGCGGGAGGUGUACGUGCAGUAAUGUGCUCAGCCGACCCGUGCUAAUAGACCGAGGGCUUGACUUC